GAAGCUGCCAGCAUGAUCU
rnacentral:snRNA from 1 species